rnacentral:rRNA from 1 species
UACGAAGGGGGCUAGCGUUGCUCGGAAUUACUGGGCGUAAAGCGCACGUAGGCGGUCUUUUAAGUCGGGGGUGAAAUCCUGGAGCUCAACUCCAGAACUGCCUUCGAUACUGGAAGACUCGAGUCCGGGAGAGGUGAGUGGAACUGCGAGUGUAGAGGUGAAAUUCGUAGAUAUUCGCAAGAACACCAGUGGCGAAGGCGGCUCACUGGCCCGGUACUGACGCUGAGGUGCGAAAAGCGUGGGGAGCAACAGGG